rnacentral:tRNA from 1 species
GGCCGGUUAGCUCAGUUGGUUAGAGCGUUGCAUUCACAUUGCAGAAGUCGGGGGUUCAAAUCCCUCACCGGCCA